rnacentral:rRNA from 1 species
UACGUAGGAUGCAAGCGUUGUCCGGAUUUAUUGGGUUUAAAGGGUGCGCAGGCGGCGUAUUAAGUUAUUGGUGAAAACGUUCGGCUUAACCGGAUACCCGCCAUUGAUACUGAUAGACUUGAGUGCGACAGAGGGUGUUGGAAUGUGUGGUGUAGCGGUGAAAUGCUUAGAUAUCACGCAGAACACCAAUUGCGAAGGCAGAUGCCUAUGUCGUAACUGACGCUGAGGCACGAAAGCGUGGGGAGCAAACAGG